rnacentral:rRNA from 1 species
AGUAGUUUGAUCAUGGCUCGAAGGACGAACGCUGGCGGCGUGCUUAACACAUGCAAGUCGAACGGAAAGGCCCUUCGGGGGUGCUCGAGUGGCGAACGGGUGAGUAACACGUGGGUGAUCUGCCCUGCACUUUGGGAUAAGCCUGGGAAACUGGGUCUAAUACCGAAUAGGACUCCGGACUGCAUGGUCUGGGGUGGAAAGCUUUUGCGGUGUGGGAUGGGCCCGCGGCCUAUCAGCUUGUUGGUGGGGUGAUGGCCUACCAAGGCGACGACGGGUAGCCGGCCUGAGAGGGUGACCGGCCACACUGGGACUGAGAUACGGCCCAGACUCCUACGGGAGGCAGCAGUGGGGAAUAUUGCACAAUGGGCGCAAGCCUGAUGCAGCGACGCCGCGUGAGGGAUGACGGCCUUCGGGUUGUAAACCUCUUUCAAUAGGGACGAAGCGCAAGUGACGGUACCUAUAGAAGAAGGACCGGCCAACUACGUG